rnacentral:snRNA from 1 species
AUCGCUUCUCGGCCUUUUGGCUAAGAUCAAAGUGUAGGGAGUGUUCUUUUCGGAGACGCCGCCUACUUUAGAGGAGAGAAUCCCCACGGGCAUCCUCAUUUGAUCUGAUCCAUCGAGUAUCUGCGAAUAGUCGGCGCACUCCUUUUGCCAUGAUCCCGGGGGUCUCAUGGUAAAAAGGUUUGUGG